GAAGAUGCUCAGUAUCACUCAUCAGGGAAAUGCAAAUCAAAAAUGAGAUACCAUCUCAUACCUGUCAACAACACAAAAGACACCAGGUGUUGGUGAGUAUGUGGAGAAAAAGGAACCCUCCUGCACUGUUGGAGGGAAUGAAAACAAGUGCAGCUACUGUGGAAAAUAGUAUGAAAAUUCCUCGAAAUUUUAAAUAUAGAACAACCCUAUGAUCCAGCAACUAGUGUUUGAGUGUUUACCAAAACAAAAACCCUAAUUCAGAGGGAUACAUGCACUCCCUAUGUUUAUAGGGCCAUAAUUUACAAUAGCCAAAUUAUGAAGGUUACUCAAGUGUCCUUCGAUUAGAUAAAUGGAUAAAGAAGGAGUGAUACAUAUAUUCAAUGGAAUAUUACUCAGCCUUAAAAAGAGAAUGAAAUCUUGCCACUUGCAAUGACAUGGAUGAUGCUAUAGAAUAUAAUGCUAAGUGAAAUAUACCAGUCAGAGAAAGACAAAUACCAUAUGAUUUUACUCAUAUGUCGAAUUUAAGAAACAAAACAAAUGAACAAAGGAAAAAAAAGAAAGAGGCAAACCAAGAAACAGACUCUUAAAUAUAGAGAACAAACCAGAAGGAGGUGGGAGGAGAGGGGGAGGAAAUAGACGAUGGUGAUUAAGAAGUAUACUUGUUAUGAUGUGCACAGGGUGAUAUAUGGAAUUGGUGGAUUAUUUUAUAGUACACCUGAAACUAAUAUAACACUGUACGUUAACUACACUGGAAUUAAAAUUUUUUAAAUUUUAGAUAUGAAAUUAAAUAUGCAAAACAUACCUAUUUUAACAGUAUUUGUGGGCAGCGCUGGUAGCCCAGUGGUUUAGCACUGCCUUCAGCCCAGGGUGCGAUCCUGGAGACCUGGGAUCGAGUCCCGCAUCAGGCUCCCUUCAUGGAGCAUGUUUCUCCCUCUGCCCGUGUCUCUGCCUCUCUCUCCCUCUGUGUGUCUCUCAUGAAUAAAUAAAUAAAAUCUUAAAAAAAAAAACAGUAUUUGUAUUAGUAGAUUGGCCUCAAAAUCUCACAUAAACACUCAAGUUUUUUAAAAAUUUUAAAGAGAAAACCUGUCUAAAGCAAAAAUUAAGGAAAUAAACCUAACUCUGUACAGUUAGUGGUAUAACCACUAUGAGAAAAACUAUCAUGAGUGUAAAGCACUGUAUUUGAUUGUACAUCUUAAAAAAAAAAAAAUACCUGUAAAGAAGUGUUGAAUUAAAUUCAGUAGGUUUGUGUUGGUACAAAUCUAGAUUUGAAUGUGUUUCCUUCCCCAGAUUAGGGAAAUUCUCAGUUAUAAUUUGUUCAAAUAAACCUUCUGAUCCUUUCUCCUGCUCCUCAUCUUCUGUGACCCCUAUUAUCCACAUAUUAUUUUCCUUUAUGGAAUCGCUGAGUUCUGUGUUUCCCUUUGUGAUUCAGUAGUUUUCUUUUUCCCUUCUUUUCAGCUUCCUUAUUUUCUAUCCUUUUAUCUUCCAUAUAAUUUCUUCUGCUUCAUUCAUCCUUGUUUUUAUAGCCUCCACUUAGGACUGCAUCUUUGAUAAUAGCAUUUUUAAUUUUGCCCUAACUAGAUUUUAGUUCUCUUAGGUCUCCAGUAAGGGAUUCUCUAGCGUCUUUUAUGCUUUUUUCAAGCCCAGCUAAGUAUCUUCACAAUCAUUGUUUUAAAUUCUAGUUCAGAAUCUUACUUCUAUCCAUAUUGAUUAAAUCCCUGGCAGUGAGUACUACAUCCUGUUCUUUCUUUUGGUGUGAAUUUCUCUGUCUCAGCAUUUCUGCCUAUAAAAGAAAAGAAGAAAGAAAGAGAAAUAACUCCAAUAACAUCAAUGAUAAUAGAGAAAAACAAAACAAGCAAAACCAAACCAAACCAAACAAACGAAAAAACCCAAACAAAACAAAAACCUAGAUCCUGAGUGUAUUUCGGUCUGCUUCUUAAAAGAAACUAGAUGCCAAAAUAAGAAGGAAAGAAAAACAUAUAUGUAAAUAAAAUGAAAUACAGUACAAUGAAAGGAAACAAAAAAUAACACAUAUAUUAUGUAUAUAUAUAUUUUUUAAAGAUUUUAUUUAUUUAUUCAUGAGAUACACAGAGAGAGGGAGAGAGAGGCAGAGACACAGGCAGAGGGAGAAGCAGGCUCCAUGCAGGGAGCCUAACGUGGGACUCGAUCCAGGGUCUCCAGGAUCAGGCCCUGGGCGGAAGGCAGAUGCUAAACCGCUGAGCCACCCAGGGAUCCCUAUAAUGUAUAUUUUAAAAUAAAAAUUAGAAAAGAAUUUUAAAAGUCAAAAAAAUGAAAAUAACAAAAA
rnacentral:lncRNA from 1 species